AAGUCGUAACAAGGUUUCCGUAGGUGAACCUGCGGAAGGAUCAUUAACACGUAUCCAAACGUUAAAACCCCCCCCGUGAACCUUCAUCCUGCUCUUGUAACCCGCGUAGUUCGCAAUCUCUGAUAAAUCAUAGCCUGUAAAGUUGUCGGAAAGUGUCAUUGAUUGUGCAAGGAUAGCGCUUCUACGAUUCCUGUAGACCGCACACUCGGGCAGGAGCUUUGCCAAAGGGUCCCCAUGCCCUAAUAACCCCACAGUUUAAUGUGAAGCUCAAUGUAAUACAUUGGGUAAAAAAACCGAACAACUGUUAACAAUGGUUAUCUUGGUUCUC
rnacentral:misc_RNA from 1 species